rnacentral:lncRNA from 1 species
UGUUUUUAGCGUAUUACCCUAACCUAUAUUAGGGCCUGGGGUAGGGAGUUACAAGAUUGUCUCAUUCAUAUCUUUCUCGAUUUUGCAUGGAUGUUGGUUAUAUCGUAGCCUAUAUUACACGAACCCAUUCAUUUUCUCUAAGUACCUAUAUUUAACACUUAUGUUUGAUACAUAUCUAGAUAUGUAUAUAAAGGGAUUACAUCAGUUUCGACUGAAUAAGUUUGUUUGAACAGACUUUAUAAAAGGGAUUACAUCAGUUUGGGUCAGAUAAAUUGAUUUGAAUAGACUUUUAUGCAUUCCUAGUGAGGGAGGAUUUAGUGAUAACUUCAAUUAUUAUGUAUUAAAUGGAUAAAUCUAAUUCAGAAUAAAACUUGAGAUUUAGUUAUUUCGUGCAAUUUGUCUUUAAGAGCAUUUAUUUCAGAAUUUUGAUUGUAAGGUUAUAACAUUCUCGCUGUAAAAUAGAGGUGAACAUUUGAUAAUUUCAUUCUAAUCAUAAUUGUGCACCAAUUAUAAAGUCAGAGGAAAAUUGCGCACCAGUCAAAUGGAAUUUGCUUCAAUCUAUCCUCUAUUUAAGUUAGAGGAAAAGAUGGUCCAGAUGAGAUUAUACUUGAAUUAGAAUGAAUUCAUUAUUCAUGUCACGUUAAUAUCAUUAAGUUAUCGGUUUAAUCAACAUUUGCGAUAAAAAAUCCAUAAUUUGACUCAAAAUAAAAUGUUGAGGGUUAAAUUGUUGAAAAGAAAAAAAAUAAGGGUCAAAUUGUUAAAAUUUAUAAACUCUAAGAACCUGCCUAGUUUAAAAGGUUUUAUUGACAUUACAAUUAGAUUACUAUUUGAAUUUACAUUUUGCGAACAACAAAUUGAAGAAAUUUCAUUUAAAAUAAUAUAAUUUACAUUACAUUAUAUGUAAAAAAACAACUAAUUAUAUAUUAACAUAAUCUAUAUCAAAUUUUAAUUCUCAAAAUUCAUCCGAGCAUAUAAUCUCCCUAAAAUUUACAUUUUUAGACUUUUUUAUUUUUAAAAUUUAAAAUUAGUAAAAGUAAAAUUACACUUUAAUCUCAUUAAUAAAAAAAAUUUGAUUCAAUUAUUUUAAAUUUAUAGAGAUACAAACUAUUCAAAUAAUUAAAUUAUAUUUUUAUUAUCGUACAAAUUAUUAUUUAAUUUUGAUUUUCCUAAAAAUUCUCAAAAUUCUUUCGAGCAUAUAAUUGUGUAAGUGUCUACUUCCAUUUUAACUUGAUAACCUUUGUUGGUCCUUCACUUGCACGAUCCUUUGAGCAGACUUUCAUGUUUUUAUCGGUCUAAGGGAUAAACAUAAAACACCAAGAUUAUUUUUGUUGCAUUGAGAUAAUCUAUAUCACUGGUAUAUUAAAUUACUUCAAAUCGAGAAUUUUUUCUUAAUAUCACAGAAAAUACAAUCGUUGAAAAUCUUGCACACGUCAAACAAGGAUAAAAAAUGAAUCUAUUGAAAUUUAAAAAAUAUAUUGGAUAUGAAUAUGUUUCUCACAUAGAAAAUUUUUCCAAUUAAUUAAAAGAGUAUACUUUAUAUUCAUAUUUGAAUAAGUGUUAAAAAUAAAUGUCUAAACAUAAAUACUUUAUAAUAAAUAUAAAAUAAAGAGUUGGAAUAAUAUUAUUUGUACUUCAAGCCAUGAAAUUUAAAUGCUACUUUUAUUAAAAGGAAUUAAAUCUAUUUAAAUACUAUUAAGGACUUAAAUUUAAUCUUUCAAAUGUAUAAAAACAAUUUUGAUAUAUUAAAUUGAACACAUAAAUAGAUCUCAAAUAAAAAUGAUGAUUUUUAACUCAAGUGAAAUUAUAAUCUAAUCCUCAUUUGAGGAUUUUCACAUUUUUAUUACGUGCUUUGUUAUGGAAGAUAUUCUUUUUUCUCCCCAUUUUUGUCACAAAUUGAUUAUGUUUACUUCAGCUUAGCAAUAAAAUAUAGAUAUAAGUGAAAAUAGAAAUUUAAUUAAAAAAAUGAAACUAAUAUAAAAGUAGACAUUUAAAUAAAACUAAUGUAAAUGUAGAUAUUUCAUGAAUUACGAAUGAAGUGACAAAUUUUUAAUGGUAUAAAAACCUAUGUUAUCAAUAUUUGCAAUAUGCAUAGAAUAUGCACUCAUGUUCAAUAUGAGUAUGAAUAAAGAUUUUAAAAUUUUUUGAUAUAUAAUAGAAGGAUCAUAUCUCUCGUUAGUGAAUAAAUUUAGAAUGAUAACUUUAAAUGAAAUAAAAACUACAAACAAGAUAGAUGUGUAAAAUAAAAAAAAAUCAAUAGGACGUUGGUUAGGUAGUUUACCACAGUUAAUGCUUCUUCCCCUAUUGGCCCACCAUAAAAUUAAAAAAUUUCUGCAUCCGUUUUGGUUGCGGCCCUUCUUCCUCCGCUUCAUCGUAGAUAUCAGCUUUUCGUUUUAUGUGAGAAGUGCUAUCUGUUGAUCCAUCGUUGUGAGCAGAGUGUUGAUGGAUGUGUUCAAAAUUUGGAGAAGAUUGAGUGGUAUGGCACUGCAACUCUUUUAUUUCUUCCAAAUCUUUCUCAUGCACUAUUCUAACACCACACUUCUUCACCUUAACACAGCCUUCAAAUGGAUGUGCGAAAGACACCUCAAGCUCAUCCCAUUUCUGAUCUAAGCAAUCUGUUGCCCAUAAAUUAUUGGUUUCACAAUGACCAUAUUUAUCCUCCAUGGAAAUUGGAUAUAGUUCAUCACGCGACCAAUAACGAAGAAAAAGGUGAUCUUUCAUGAUGGGUCCGUUAUAUCCUUUACCCACAAACCAGCCGCUCCAAUCAAUCUGUCUACGAUUUCUACCUCGAAAAAUAGAUCCAUCACAGCUGGCUUGUUCAGAAUUUCUGCAAUAGAUAAAUGCAUCACAACUGAUAUCCUCGUUAUGCCUUGAAGCAUCAUUACUGAUAAAAAUGCAGCAAGAAGCAACUCCAAUCCAUUGACUAUCUUUCCGAAGGGGUAUCUUAAUUGAAGAGUCAUUUUUUUGUUGGCUAAACCAUUCUGGGAUUUCACUUCCGGGCAUAAAAAUGGUAAACUUUUUUGUUGAAUUUGCAGAUGCCUGCAAAAUAAAACACAAGUCGUUUGGUAACUAAAACCAUAAAUUCUCAAGUAUGAGAUUUUGUAAGGGAGAAUAAAGAGAUUAAUCGACCUUAAGAUAUUUUUUCAGCAGUGUUAAUGCAUUGAUAUUCUCAGCCAAUUUGAAGCAGUUAAUGGCUAUAGUGUAAUCCCCAUCCACUAAAUUGCGCACUUUUGAGGGUCUUGCAACUACUUCAAGUGAAGAAAAACCAUCUAUAAGCACAUCUGUUGGAAGCUCAGGCAACGAUUUAAGCAUCUUGCAAUUUGAUAAUCGAAGGAAAUUAAGCCUGCAAAGUUGAGUAAGAGCCAAAGGAAUGGUGAUGAAAUUGUUACCCCCAAGAUUAAGAGAACUCAAAGAGGAUAGACCAUGAAUAUCUGCUUCACCAAGAGUGCACAUGUUGCAAUUUGACAAGUUAAGAACCUCAAGCUUCGAGAGCCGAGUAAGAGAUGCAGGUAUGCUGAUGAAAUUGUUACCACAAGAUCAAGACAUAUCAAAGAGGAUAGACCAGAAAUAUCACGUGGAAUAUCUCCUUCACAAAGAUUGCAGUGCCCUAGAUUUAGUCUUCUUAAUGAACUCAAACCUGACAACAAAGGCAACACCGGAGCUAUGGGAUUCGUCCUUCUUCCUUGGAUUACCUUGAAAAUAAAAGGCAAAUUUGGUCGUGACUUAUAUGAUGGUCCCUUGCAUCCACUGAAAGACAAAACUUUAAGAUUUUUCAAUUGAGAAAUGAAGGAUGAUGGUUCUUUUAUGGCUGUUUCACUCAAGUCAAGCUCUUCCAAAGAUUCUGCUUGCUGCAAAUUCUCUGGUAAAUAUUCAACUUUGAAACAACCAGAAAGAUGAAGAGUUUUUAGAUGUUCUAUUUUCCCAUCAAUCUCUGGAAACCUUGCAAGAUUUGAGCAACCUGAAAGAAUUAAUGUUUCAAGAGAUUCCAUUCCAAUUUUGGUUGGAAGACUCCUAAGACUUUUGCAGUCUCUUAAAUUCAAAAGUUUAAGGCUCUUAAGCACUCCGAUUGAUGGAUGGACAUCUACUAAUCUGGUACAACCUUCCAUAAUCAAAGCUUCAAGUUUUGGUGCUGUUGUGAAGUCAGGUGUCUUGAUCAGGUUUUGGGACCCUUUGAGGUUGAUCAUUUUCAACUUCAACAAGGGCUGUUGAAGACAAUAAUAAAUUAGGCCGAAGACAUAAUAAUGCUAAUUUUUGUUUCGCUUUUUACCUUAAUCCAAGUUUAAUCAUUUAUAUUAAAAUAAGCAAAAACACAAGGAUAAGAUGAGUUAGUUCUUACUCUAUUCCCCUUCCAUAGUUGCUCAAUAUGACUAUAUGGUAAAAGAAGUGCAACAAGAUUAUCUGGGUGGAAGUUUGAAGGCAAAAAUCUUAAAGGAUAUCCUGUCCAAUCUAAAAGCCGUAGUUCACUAGAAAGAUAUUUGAGAUCAUCACAAUUUGAUACGCUAAACACUUUGAGCAAUCUCAAAUUUUUCAUCUUUGAGAAGGUAUCGGCGGUCAAAUUGAACAUUUUGCUCGAUUCCCUAAUAAUCAUGAGUAAAACAAAAAUGAGCUUCAAAAUAUACAAAAACAUUCAAUAUCUAAAAGCUAUGUUGCAUCGAGAUUUUUUUAUGUACCCACACAUCCAGUACUUACAUGUAAUGCGUAUAUGAAUAUGGUAUUGCGAUAUAAUUGAAUAUAUUAGACAAUACUUAAUCUAACACUUUUUUCACACUUGUAAUUACCUAUGCCUAAAAAACCUAGAACUAAUAUUUUUAUUUAUGUUUAGUGCUUUGAUGUGUAAUUCUAUACUGGCAUUAUUUGGAUUUACUUUUGAAAACUUUUAAUGAUAUGUUAUGGCCUAGUUCAUUGAUAUAUACUGUCAUUACAUCAUAUAUAGACCAUUAAUAUUAACAAAGAUAAUGACAUUAAUUUUUUUAUAAUUUCUUUUGAAAGAGUAAUGUGUUUCUUUAUAAAUUUCAUGAAUAUAAAAUUAAACAUUAUGAAUGUGUUUGGUUGGGUGAAAAAGUAAAGGGAUAAGAGAAUGAAGUAUGCUUGGUAAAAAAAAAAAGUUGAGAAGAAAAAAGAAAGAAAGAGAUGAUCAUUUACGUGUAUGUUUCCCUACCAUUUAUUGUCGAUGAUCAUGCCUUCAACCAUUUUGGUAGCCUAGAAAUAAUCAAGAAUACAAUAAGAAGAUAAAAUAAAUACACUAAAUUGUACGAUAAAACUUUUGAAAAUUUACAUACAUGUUCAACAUUAUCACAAUCUUUUGGUUCGAAUAUAGUAAAUAAAAUAUUUUGUUCAAUAAAAUUAAAGCUACUCAAUGUCACUUAAGGAUCUAUAUAUAAACUAGUUAGACUAAGCUUUGGAUUUACAUCAUAUAUUAAUAAAAGAAAUUUUUGUAUGUAAUUUUUGUUGAAUGAUUUACCGUGUUUUUUGUUAAGAUAUGAUGGACAUCCCUUUCUUUCCAUAAUCUACAACGUUUUCCAGGUUCAUCAGCACAUUUUUCUUCAACCAUUUUUCUUCCCAUUUCUUGCAACAAGGCAUGCAUCCACAAAUAUUUGUUAUCAUCAUCGACUUUUAUGAGAGAUUUCUUAAUAAGAACAUCGAUUCCAAUAUCUGGAAAAAACCCACAACCAUCCAAUACUUUCAUUACCAAAUCUUUCUCCUCCCCAUUGAAAAAGCAUGCUAUAUCUAGAAAUAUAUUCUUCUCCUUUUCUUCCAAUCCAUCAAAGCUAAUUCUUAGUGUGUCAAGAAUUUUUUUGUUAGAAUCUUGUUUAAGGCUUUCGAUUGCACUUCUCCAUUGAACUAUAUCUCUACCACACAAAAAUGAACCCAAAACUUCAAGAGCUAAGGGAAGGCCACCGGCAUAAUGUACAACAUGUUCAGAAAGCUCAAUGAAAUCAACUUUCGGCGUUGUAUCACCGUCAAAAGCUUUCAAAUUGAAAAGCCUUAGUGCAUCGUUGGGAUUCAAUAUUGUAGGCUUAUACACAUCAUUGAUUCGAUAAGAUCGGAGCAAAUGUUCAUCUCUCGUUGUUACAAUGAUCCUACUCCCUAAAUUGAACCAAUCACGCCUUCCAACCAAGCAUUUCAAGUGUUGUAUGUUAUCAACAUCAUCAAGAACAACAAGAAGCUUUUUACUAGACAACCGGUGGCUGAUUAUGGCAUUCCCUUCAUGAACAUUGAAAAAAUUGAAGCAUUCAUCCGGAAAGAUCUGAGAAAGAAGUUGUUUCUGUAAAGAAACAAGUCCAUGUUUGUUUGAAACUUCUCGAAUAUCAGCAAGAAAGCAUUUACCUUCAAAAUGAGGUAACAUUUGAGUGUAAGCAACCCUCGCAAGAGUUGUUUUACCGAUGCCACCCAUUCCGCAAAUUCCUAUAAUGCGGAAAUCGUCUUCCCCAAUAUUUAUUUUCGAAUACAACUCCUCCAAAUGUAAACUAAUUCCAACCAACUCAUCAUGAACAACUGGAUAUGUCUGACAUAAUUUUGCUGAUAUCUUCUUAACAACGUCUCUAAUAAACUCUGAUUCGUGCCUACAAUGAAAUUAAAAUCCGAUAUGCACUUUUUCAUUUUUAGUUUAGUGAAUCAUGAAGUAUAAUAUGGUUGGAAGCAAACAAAAAGUACGAAUAAGACAGUAAGAUACAUUAUAGCAUNNNNNNNNNNNNNNNNNNNNNNNNNNNNNNNNNNNNNNNNNNNNNNNNNNNNNNNNNNNNNNNNNNNNNNNNNNNNNNNNNNNNNNNNNNNNNNNNNNNNAAAAAUAACAUGCAAUCCAAUAAAAAAAACAAUUUUUUAGUCAUUAAAAUUAGGAAAUAGAGAAGAUAAGAAAGAAAUACCUAUUAUUUAAAUGCCAUCCCUUGAUGUUAGCCACUUCAGUCAAAGCAUUUCGCCACUUUUGGAUCUUGUCUUUAUCUUCCUUGUAUCUUUCUUCGUGUUUGGCAAAGGCUUCUUCAACUUUUUCUUUUUGUUUUCUUAAAUCGGAUGGAUCAACAUGGUAGAAAAUUGGAAAAACUUUAUGACCCUUGUCAUUUUUUUGUUUAACAAUCUCCGCAAGCUCCUCCAAGCACCAACCUGAAAAGGCAUAGGUCUCAGAAAAACGAUUACGGAGCACCAUGAUUGCUGAAUUGCGUUGUAAGAGUUCCGGUGCGAUCUCUUCACCAGUUUCCAACUUUGGAUCAUCUCUAAAAGUGACGAUCCCAGUUCUAUUUAGAGCAUCGUAGAGAUGAUCCGUAAAAUUCUUGCGAGUAUCUUCACCUCUAAAACUCAAGAACACAUCGUAUUUCUUUCUAGAAAUGGACGAGGAAGUCGAAAGUAACGACGACAUGAGGAUGUAUGAGAAGAAAAAUAUGUGGAUGUAGUGUUCAAAAUCAGUCGCUCAAUACCUCAGAAACAAUAAGUAUAUGAGCAUGAAGGGAGAAAAACAGAAGAAAUUUCGAGGGAAGAACAAAGGGAGUAGGUGAAUCUAUCAGUAUAAUAAUAUCUAUGAAAGGAAGUAGGUGUGGAAAUUCGGGGUCAUAGAUGCUCUUUCCGGGUAGACUCCAAGAAGUGUUGGAACAAUGGCAGCAGCAAAAAGAAAACAAAGUUGCAAAACAGAAUUUGCAAAACUGAAGCAAGAAGUAUCGAAGCAAAAGAAAUCAAAGCAAAGCAAAAACAGUGAACAAAAUUGAAUACUCAGCAAAUUGUAACUAAACAUUUACUUUUUUUCAUUCAAAAUUUGAAUAUAUAAAAGAGUUACAAAUUUGAUUCAUUUGACAGUUACCUAAUGACAUAACUGCUCCCACUUAAACUAAACUAAUACAAGCUUAAGUCAAAUACAAAAUAAGCUGACAUAUCAGCUUUUACAUCAUCAAUCCAAUCACAAACUUAAUCCAACUAACUUUGGAAACUAGUUAAAGUUGAACUAAACUAAAUUACAAAAGAACAAAACAUCCAAAGUUGAUUGCUUCAUCUGGUUCAGCUUCAGUCUUGCACACCAAGCAUUAUCACCAAGCUCGACAGCCAACCAUGCUGCUGGCCACAUGUUGCUUUGCAGUCCAGCUUUCAACAAGAAGGUGAGAGUUCACAAAAUGCAGCCUACAAUUUUUCUGAAAAUUAAAUUCAUUAAUUUAUUCAGAACCAUAUAAUUCAGGCGAAAGAAAAUAAUAAAUACUCAUAGUAGAUGAUGAAUAAUAAACUUUAUCAACACAAUAAAAGCUUUAGCCUUAACAUCAAUAGAACAUCAUGACACGUUAACAAUUAAUUUUGUUAUAACUCAAGUACGACAUAUUUGGAGUAAUUGUAAACACUUAAUACGAUAAAGAAAUCAACCUCGGAUGGUGCAAAGUGACGAGCAAACAAAACAAUCGAACAUUCACCAAAUUAGAGAGGACGACAAUAAAAUCUUCUCUAAAAUCACUUAUAAAACUAAGAUUAUAUGCAUAAAUACACUUAUUAAAUAAUUAAAAAAAAUGUAAAACUUAACAACACGAAAAUAAAUCCUACAAUUAUUAUCAAGUAACGUGUUGGACGGUUUGUGUUUUACUUUUUAUUUUUAUAUUAUCAUAUCUACUUUAUAAUCAGUAGCUUAUGUUACAUAUGUGAUUUUACGCAUUUAAUAUUUGAUUAAUUUUUUUAAUUAUUAUACCUUUAAUUGAAGUAAUUAAUAUAAAAUAAUAUUUUUGUUUAAAUUAUUAAAUAUAUGUAAAUAUAUUAAUUUAUCAAUUCAAACAAAUAUUAUAAUAGAAAAUUUUUAAAUAAUAAUUAAAUAAUUUUUAACAUAUUCAACAUAUAUUAUAGUUUUCCUUUAUGUAGCUAAUGCAAUGUAAUAUUACUCAAAAUAAUAACUACUUAACAUAAUUGUCAGCAACCUCUUGGCCUAUUUACAAAAGCUUAGUUUUGUAGGUAUGAGAGUUUAGGUUUAAUCUUAAGCAAUCUCAUUUUUCUCCCUCAAAUAUAUAUAAAAAAACCGAGCACAAUAAACUCUAAUAAUAAUUAAGUGAUAAUUAUAAUGAUAAUUUUAAAUUUAGUAAUAGAAAAAAAUAAAUAUCUUUUUCAAACUCGUUGUUAUAUAUUAAGUAUUAAAAUUGUGUUUUACGUGUCAUAGCAAUUCACCACCAUUUGAUCUUAUCUUUUAUCUUCCUUGUACCUUUCUUCGUGUUUGGUGAAGGCUUCUUCAACUUUUUCUUUGUUUUCUUAAAUCGGAUGAGCCUUAGAUGUUCUUUCCGAGAAGACUCCAAGAAGGCGAGAGUUGUUGUUAAUAUUUAUAGAGUUUUUCUUGGUUUAAAUGUGCCAGAAGUCCCUGCAUUUUUUAUAAAAUUAAAAUUUAAUUCCUGUACAAUUAAUCACUAAAUUAUGGAUAAAUUUUUGCAUGUAUCUUCAUCUCUAAAACUCAAAAAAACAUAAUAUUUCUUUCUAGACAUGGAUGAGGAAUUCGAAAGUGAUGAUGACAUGACGAUUUAUGAGAAGAAAAAUAUAUAUGGAUAUAGUGUUCAAAAUCAGAAAAUAGAUGGCUCAAUACCUCAGAAACAAAGUAGAAACAAUAAGUAUAUGAACAUGAGGAAGGAGAAAAACAGAUGAAAUUAUUUACAGGAAACAACAAAGGACUUGUCUAGGAAAUUUGUGUAUACGUUUCCCACCUUUUACUUUUUCAAAUGAAUCUAUCUUCAUUAUAAUACCUAUGAAAGGGAGUCGGUAACAAUUAAUUAAGAGUUUUUUUUCAUUUUCUUAAAUCUUAAAAUCAAUGUUGAGACAUUAAUCAAGACUAAACUUGUCUCCUUGAAGGAGAAAAACAGAUCAAAUUUCUCUAAACAUUUCCAUUUUUUCUUCCAAAUGUCUCCUUUAAUGAUAUAAGUAUCACCUAAUCUACAAUCCUACAUGAAGGAGAAAAACAGAUCAAAUUUCUCUAAACAUUUCCAUUGUUUCUUCCAAAUGAAAGCGCGUAGGUGUGGAAAUUGGGGGAUGAUAGAUGAGUGAUAGAUGUUGUCUCAGGAAGAAUCCAAGAAAGAGUCGACAAAAUUGAGCCUACAAUAAUUAUAAGUGUUGGACCGUUUGUGUUUUACAUUAUCAUAUUUACUUCAUAAUUAUAAAGUAUUAACUAAUUGUGUUUUACAUGCUUAACUAGUUUCUUAUGUAACAUACACCUAAUUAUUUUUAUUUCAUUAAUUAUAUAUUUAUUUUAUUAAUUAGUGUAUUUAAUUAUUAUUUAAAGAUAUAUGAUUAUUUAUUUAAAAACGUUUAUUAUUUUAUGUAAUGUAAAAUAAUUAAAAUAUUUUAUUAGACUUAACACAUAAUUUAGUACUUGAGUUUGACGCUUUUUUUAAUGCGAUACUUAUGUUAUUUUUUGGUCCAAUCAUGUAUUUGUAUUUGACAAAAGUUAUAUAUUUUGACACCCAAAACUAAUGAUGUUAAGUGUUUAAUUCGAGUUUUAGGGCUGGUUUGAUGAAAAUUAAUUGCUAAUUAUGUAUUUUCAUCAAACCAACUCUAAAACCCGCAUUAAAUCACAUCCAUUGAACUGUAUUUGACAAAUUAAAUGCAAAAUUAAACAAAUCCACAAUUAACACUAAAUUUAUUCUAUUAACAAAAUCAUGAAAAAUUCAAAGUUAAUAAUAUUAACAAUUAACUUUCAUCAAAUUAAUUCUUAAACUUGAACUAAACACUAAAAAGUUAACACCGUUACUUUUGAAUACCAAAAUAUAUAUGUUUUAUCAAAUAUAUGUAACAAAUUGAAAAAAAAACAAGAGUACCACAUUAAAAAAAAAGUGUCAAACUCAAAUACCAAUUAUGCAUUAAAUUAUUUUAUUACAAGAUAUUGUUUAAUUAUAAAUUUCAAUAUUUAAAUUAAAAAAAAGGUGUAAUUCAAAGACAAAUGUAAAGCGAAAUUCAAUAUUUAUCUAAUUUUAUCUACUCAAAAUAUUUAUUCAGGCCCUAUUUGAUAAAUGGUUGAAAAAAAAUCAACUAAAAAAUUAAUAUUUUCAACAGUUUUAUUUAUUUUAAUAUGUUUGAUAGCCGCUAAUAUAAACCACUUCAUAGAAUUUUUUUUCUUCAUUUUUUUGGUGAAUUACAAUAAUAUGACAAAACCCGAACAACAAGCACGGCUAACAUAAUAACUUGAAUCCAAGCUAUACCUAAGUGGUGAACAUCCUAACUAUCAGACCGUCACACAUUAGAUUCAAUUUUUUAUCAUUUUAUUGUUUUAUUCAACAAAAUUUUCUAUGACACAUGAACCUUCAUUUUUUUUAUAUUUUCGGUAUAAUAUUUAUUUUUCAUAAUGUUUAUAAUAUUUUAUAUGUAAUACUAUAAUUUACUACAAAUAUUUCAUAUUUAUAGUAAAGUUAUUUAAUAUAUGAUUUUGCUUAAAAUAAUGUGCAAUGUUUAAAAAUUAAAAAUAAAAUUAUAAAAUAAAUUUGUUUAUAAUUUAAUAUUUAUAUUUAUCAAACAAUUUAAUUAUAUUUCAAGUAUAACACCCACCAUAUUGAAACAACACUUCCCAAGCUUUCCAAGAAAGAAAAAUAUGAUCACAAUUCUCUUCAACUUCAUUGCACCAACAACAUUUGAUAGAACCUUAACUGUUAGAAUACCUCGAUCCCUUAAAAAAACAUUUUGAAGGUAUACCUUUCUGGAAUAACAGCAGAAAUAUGGUUUCGUCAAUAUGGGAUCUUUUGCUAGCAGGAAUUGAAGCCAUUUAAGUAGUGUUAAGGACCUAUAUAAACUACAAAAUGUAGCUAUUUAAAUACCAUUUAGCAACACAAAAACAGAGUACAGGUUCCCAUGGCGUUUGAUGACAAAGAUAAAAGAUGAUUAUAUUUCGCCCUAUUACCUGCUUCUUCAUGGAGCAAUCCAACUUUCUCCACACUUUUGUCUCAAAGUUGGAUUAUAUUUUUUCAACCUAUAUUGAAAAUAUAGAUGUAAGUUUAUACAUAUAACAAAGUAUUUAAUAUUUUGAGAGAUAGAGGUAUCCUAAUUUUAGAGCCACCUCUCUGUUGGCUAAACCAUUCUGGGAUUUCACUUCCAGGUAUAAUAACAUCAGUCUCUUGGUAAAUAGAUCCAUAAAUUCCCAUGUAUGAGAGGGAAAGAAAGAGAGAUUAGUUAACCUUAUGAUGUUUUAUCAACAAUGUUAAUGCAUUGACGUUCUCAGCCAAUCUGUAGCAGUUAAUGGCUUUAAUGGAAGCUAAAUCCAAUAAAUUGCAUUGUUACAAGCAGCAGCUCGAACACAUGAAGCAGCUAAAUCUAAAUAUGGGCAUUGAGACAUGAUCCUUCAAGAACUCUUUAAUACAUGAAAAAAACCUUUUGAAAAAACAAUGAACAUACACAUUUCAAAUACAUACUCAUAUCUAACACGCACAUCUGGAUUUAAAAUACUUAAGCCUAAAAAUAUUAGAAUUAAUAUUUAGUGCUCUGGCAAUUUAUAAAAUUUAUGCAUUGUUAGUGAACCAAAUCAAAACAAAUAAUGAAGGAUGAAAUCACUUGAAUUUAUUUUUUAAAAAAUUGAUUGACAUGUUAUAAUUUAGUUCGUAAAGUAUGAACAUUUGUCGACAAAAGUUUUCCUGACACUUUUAACUCCUGUUAUAGGUAAGAUACUUUUCAAGGCAAUUUAAAAAGUCAACAAAAGUCAUGUUUAUAUUUUGUUUGUGACCCGAAUUCUUAUUAAAACAAAAUACUGUGGUAAAAUAAAAUAAAAGUAAAAUCCAUAUAGAACUACACUUCUUUUAUUUUAUUUUAAAAUAAGGUUUUUCAACCUUAUUACACUUCAUCUAUUUGAUAUUGAUUAGAAUUAGAUGUUUCAACCUUACUACACUCCUUUUAUUAGAAUAUGGGUGUACAAGUCUAUAAAUAGACAUAGUCUACUCCUCUUGUAAUUAAUUCGAAUUUGACAUAGUGAAUUAUCUUCUCCUCUGCCUGUGGUCUUUCCUCGAAAGGGUUUCCACGUAAAACUGUGUGUUCUUUUUUUUUUUGUUCUUUCUCUUUUCUUUGCAAUACAUUGUCAUUAUUGACGUUCUAUUUUUAAAAAAUUGGUAUCUGAGCUUCCGGUUUGUUCAUCUCAAUCACGAUAAUGGCGUCUUUGAAGUAUGAAAUUCCACUGUUGAAUUGCAACACCAGAUUCGUGUUGUGGCAGGUUAAGAUGCAAGCAGUUCUUGCACAGAUGGAUAUGGAGGAUGCCCUGCUAGGGAUAGAUAAGAUGCCUUUGACAUAUGGAUGAAGAAAAGAAGCGUAAAGAUCGAAAGGCAUUAACACAGUUACAUCUACAUUUGUCUAACGAAGUUUUGCAGGAUGUGGUGAAGGAGAAGACUGCCGUUGUAUUAUGGAAGAAGCUGGAACAAAUAUGUAUGUUGUAAACUCUAACCAACAAGCUACAUAUGAAGCAACAUCUUUAUGCUCAUCUUUUGGAGGAAGGUGCGUCUGUGCACACUUAACAGUGUUUAAAGAAAUUCUCUCAAACUUGGAGGCUAUGAAGGUUCAGUAUGAUAAAGAAGAUCUAGGGUUGAUUCUACUUUGUUCGUUGCCCCUAUCUUAUUCAACCUUUAGAGACAUGAUUUUAUAUAGUCGCGAAUCUCUCACAGUUGAUGAGGUUUAUGAUUCUUUAACCUUGUAUGAUAAGAUGAAGUAUCUUGUGGUUGCACCCGACUCUCAGGGAUAGGGUCUCAUUGUUCGUGGGAGACAAUAUUAGAAUUUGAAGAUGAUCGUGGAAGGACACAAGAACGGAAUCCUUGCGGUAAAUCUAAGGAAAGAUCAAAGUCUUCAAAUAGAGGUAAAACUUAUAACUUCUGUAAGAAGAAGGGACACAUUAAAUCUGAGUGUUUUAAGCUGCAGAACAAGAUCAAAAGGGAGGCUGCGAAUAAAAAAAGCAAACAACCAAAAAAAUAUGGUGAAGUUGAUGUUGUAGAAGACUACAACGACAAUGAACUUCUAGUCGCUUUUGUCAAUAAUUCUAAAGUGAGCGAGGAGUGGAUCCUUGAUUCGGGUUGCACCUCCACAUGAGUCCCAAUUGAGAUUGGUUUACAACUUACGAAAUAGUGUCUGAAGGUGUUGUUCUGAUGGGAAAUAAUGCUUCGUGUAAAAUCGCAGGUGUUGGAACAAUUAAAGUUAAGAUGUUUGAUGGAGUUGUUAAAAUGACUGUUGUUGCUUCCUCUUCCUUGUCAUAUGAUGAUGUUACUAGACUUUGGCAUAUGCGCCUAGGGCAUAUGAGUGAGAAUGGCAUGGUAGAAUUAAGCAAAAGAGGACUUCUUGAUGGGUAAGGAAUUUGCAAACUAAAUUUUUGUAAGCACUGCAUUUUUGAGAAGCAAAAGAGAGUUUAGAUCACUAGAGGAAUCCAUAACACGAAGGGAAUAUUAGAGUAUAUUUAAUCUAAUUUGUGAGGGCCAUUCAAAGUGCAUUUGAGAAGUGGAGCUAAUUAUAUGCUAACACUUAUUGAUGAUUUUUCUAGAAAAGUUUGGGCAUUUUUCUUGAAGAAAAAAAACGAUGUGUUUUCUACAUUUAAGUCUUGGAAAACUAUGAUUGAAAAAUAGACGAGAAAAUAAAAAAAAACCAUCUCUGCAUAGACAAUGGCUUAGAGUUCUAUUCUGAUGAGUUUAAUGAACUAUACAAGUUAGAAGGGAUCAUGAGACACUUGACAGUUCAUCAUGCUCAAAAACAAAAUGGCAUUGCAGAACAAAUGAAUAGAACGAUUAUGGAGAAAGUUCGAUGUAUGUUAUCGAAUGCUAACUUAUUGAAGUCGUUUUGGGCCGAAGCAACCUCUGCUGCAUGUUUUUUGAUCAACCGAUCUCCAUCCAUUGCCAUUGAUAAAAAGACUCCACAAGAGGUAUGGUUUGGUAAUCCUACUGAUUAUUCUAAUUUAAAGAUCUUUGGGUGUCCUGCGUAUGCUCAUGUUGAUAAUGGAAAAUUGGAACUAAGAUCCAUUAAAUGUGUUUUUCUUGGUUAUAAGGCUGGUGUAAAAGGGUAUAAGUUAUGGUGUCCUGAAAAUAGAAAAGUUAUGAUUAGUAGAGAUAUUAUUUUUGAUGAAACUGCUAUGCUACCUAACUUAUCUCUUAAAGACUUUUUCAAUAAAGAACAACAAAAGUAGGUGGAGCAUCAAAUUAAUCCAAAAUCUACAACAGAGUCAACUCUUCAAGCCAGUACAAAAAUUAAGAAUAGAGUUGCUUCUUUACUACAAUACUUUAUCGCCAAAAAUAGAACUAGACGAGAGAUUAAACCUCCAAAAAAGUAUGUCAAGGCUGAUCUAGUUACUUAUGCUUUAAAUGUGGCUAAAGAUAUAGAUGCAAACCAAGAGCCAUCUAAUUAUUCUGAGGCUGUUAGCUGUGAAGACUCAAAGAAGUGGAUGUUUCCUAUGCAAGAGGAGAUGGAACCACUCCACAAAAACAUAACAUGGGACCUUGUGAAACUUCCUAAAGGCAAAAAGGUUGUUCGUUGUAAAUGGGUGUUUGGGUGUUUAAAAAGAAAGAAGAACUCUCAGAGUUGAAGAACCCAUAUAUAAAGUAAAGCUUGCUGCAAAGGAUUACAGUCAAAUUCCAGAAGUGGAUUUCACAGAUGUGUUCUCCCCAAUUGUGAAGCAUAGUUCAGUUCGAGCUUUGCUUGGUAUUGUGGCCAUGCAUGAUUUGGAGCUUGAGCAGUUAUAUGUAAAAACUAAAUUUUUGCAUAGAGAACUUGAGUAGGAUGUUUACAUGCAACAACCAGAGGGUUUUAUAGUCUCAGAAAAAGAGGACUAUGUUUGCUUGUUGAAAAAAUCCCUUUACGGUUUGAAGCAGUCACCAAGACAGUGGUAUAAGAGGUUUGAUUCCUUUAUGACUUCUCAUGGGCAUGAUUUUAAAAUAAGUAGUUUUGAUAGUUGUGUUUACUUUAAGAAAAACAGUGAUGGUUCUUUUGUGUAUCUACUACUUUAUGUUGAUUAAAUGUUGAUAGUAGCGAAAGAUAAAUGAGAGAUAAGAAAGGUCAAAGGCCAACUAAGUGAAGAAUUUGAGAUGAAAGAUUUGGGACCAGCAAAGAAGAUACUUGGUAUGAAGAUUCUCAGAGAUAAAAAAACAAGUAAUUGUACCUAAGUCUGAAGGGGUACAUUGUGAAAGUUCUUUGUAAGUUCAAUAUGCAGAGUGCUAAGCCUGUUAGUACUCCUUUAGCAGCCCAUUUCAGACUUUCAUUGGCUUUGUCUCCACAAUCAGAUGAUGAGAUUGAGUACAUGUUACAUGUUCCAUGUUCUAGUGCAGUGGGAUCUCUCAUGUAUGCUAUGGUUUGUUCACGUCCAAAUUUAUCAUAUGCAGUCAGUGUAGUUAGUAGAUACAUGGUGAAUCCCGGUACAGAACACUGGAAAACAGUUCAGUGGAUUUUAAGAUACUUACGAGGUACUAAUGAUGUUUGCUUACAGUUUGGAAGAAUUAGAGAUGGAGUCAUUGGGUAUGUUGGUGCUGAUUUUGCUGGAGAUCUUGAUAGAAGAAGAUCUCUCACAGGUUACGUAUUUACAAUUGGAGGUUGUGUAACCAGUUGGAAAGCCACUUUGUAAACUAUAGUUGCUUUGUCUACCACUGAAGCUUAGUAAAACAUGCAGAUAUGAUGACUAAGCCACUUCCCAUAACCAAGUUUGAGCAUUACUGAGACUUGGUUGGUGUUCAUUGUUGAAGUUAAACCCUUACGGGGUUUUACGGAAGAGGUAGAGAAUUUGUUCAUUGAGAGUUCGCGAUGAAGAACUUGUUUAUUGAGAUUUUGUGUCAAGGUGGAGAUUUUUAGAAUUGAGUGACCUAAAUCGUUGUUAAAAUAAAAUGUACUGUGGUAAAAUAAAAUAAAAGUAAAAUCCAUAUAGAACUACACUUCUUUUAUUUUAUUUUAAAAUAAGGUUUUUCAACCUUAUUACACUUCAUCUAUUUGAUAUUGAUUAGAAUUAGGUGUUUCAACCUUACUACACUCCUUCUAUUAGAAUAUGGUUUUACAAUCCUAUAAAUAGACACAGUCUACUCUUCUUGUAAUUAAUUUGAAUUUGACAUAGUGAAUUAUCUUCUCCUCUGUCCGUAGUUUUUUCCCAAAAGUUUCACGUAAAAUCUGUGUGUUCUUUAUUUUUUUCUUUUUCUUUGCGAUACAUUGUCAUUAUCGACGUUCUAUUUUUCACGUAUUUAUAUGUUGUUUAUUCAAGAUCAUUAUGAAUUGCUUUAACCCAAAUUCAUAAAAAGCACCAUAAAAUCUGGAUCUUUUAAUCUUCACAUUUAUCAUGUAAAUAUCUCUUACUAAAGUUCCACCAAAUAUGUAUACCAAAGAAUGUGAUAGAACUUACAAAGGCGAGACUAAGAUUACAACAAAAUAAAGGUUCUUACAAAACACAAAAUUUAAGUUUUAAGCAUUCUGAAAUACAUCCAAACUAUCCGAAAAAGCUUUCAUCCUUACUGCUAUAGGAUGAAAACUUAAUAAGCAAUCAACACCCAUACAUUAGGCACCAAGGAUGAACAUGAAGCACACAGACAAGUUUAAAUCCCCUUGUAGCUUGUUAAUAAGAAGCAGAAACCAAAAUUGUUCGAUACGUAUCUAGUUAUGUAUAUAAAGGGAUUACAUCAUUUUCGAUCAAAUAAGUUGGUUUGGAUCGACUUUGUGAAGGGAUUACACCAGUUUCGGUGAGAUAAGUUGAUUUUGAAUAGAUUUUUAUGCAUUCCUAGUGGAGGGAGAAUUUAGUGACAAUAAAUCCAAUUCAUAAUAUAACUUGAGAUUUAGUUAUUUUGUGCAAUUGUCUUUAAGAAAAUUUAAAUGAAUCAAUUGUUUGAAUCUUAAUAUUUCAGAAUUUUUUUUUUGUAAGAUUAUGAUAUUUUCAUUCUACUAAUGUUCAGUAAUUUAAAACAAUCAUAAUUGUGCACCAAUUAUAAAAGAAGUUACAAGAAAAUUGUGCACCAAUCAAAUGGUCCAAUUGAGACGAUACUUGAACAGUUUAAUGUUGAAUUCAAAUGCUAUUUAUGUCACGUCAAUAUUGUUAAAUUAUCGGUUCAAUUAACAUUUUGCAUUAAAAAAAUCUAUAAUUUGACUCAAAAUAAAAUGUUGAGGGCCAAAUUAUAAAAAAAAAGGGUCAAAUUGUCAAAAUUUAUAAACUCUUAAGAAUUUUUUUUUUGUCAUUAUGCCUAAUUUCCUAAAUUCAACCGAGCCUAUAAUUGUUAAAGUGUCCGUUUGCAUGAUUCUUUGAGCAAAUUUUCAUGCUUCAAUCGGUUUAAGGGACAAACAUAAAACAUCAAGAUUAUUUGAAUGAGUGUUAAAAAUAAAUGUCUAAACAUAAAUACUUUAUAAAAACAUAUAAACUGAGAAGUUGGAAUAAUAUUAUUUGUACUUCAAGCCAUGAAAUUUAAAUGGUACUUUCAUAAAAAAUUAAACCUACUUAAGUACUUUUAAUUCAAUCGAAAUUAUGAUUUAAUCCUCAUUAAAAGAUUUUCGCCUUAUUAUUACUUGUUUCGUCACAAAAGCUAUCCAUUUUUCUCCACAUUUAUAUCUCAAGUUGAUUAUAUUUACUUCAACCUGCAAAUAAAAUAUAGGUGUAAGUGAAUAUAUAUAUAUAUAUAUAUAUAUAUAUAUAUAUAAUGAAAAUGAAAUUUUAAUAAAUAAAAAAAUUGAAAACAAUCAAAAUUUACACAUUUCAAUUAUGUUAAGAGGAAUGAAUUAAGUGACUAAAAUUUUAAAUGGUAUAAAAAAAACUAUGUUUUCAACGUUUGGGAUAUGUAUAGAACAUGAGUUCAUGUUCAAUAUCAGUAUGAAUAAAAAUUUUAAAACUUUUUUGGUAUAUAACGAAAGGAUCAUAUCAAUACGCAAAUAAGUCUAGAAUAAUUACUUUAUAUGAAAUAAAAGAUGCAAGGUUAUGUAAAAAAAAAAUAAUGGGACAAGGUUGGUUAAGUAGUUUACCAUAGUUAAUGGUUCUUCCCCAAUUGACCCAUUAUAAUUGCGGUCCUUCUUCCUCUGCUUCGUCAUAGAUAUUACGUUUUCGUUUUAUGUGAGAAGUGCUACCCACUAAUGGAUCAUCGUUGUGAGUGGAGUAUUGGUGGAUGUGUUCAAAAUUUGGAGAAGAUUGAGUGGUAUGGCACUGCAACUCUUUUUAUUUCUUCCAAAUCUUUCUCAUACACUAUUCUAACACCACACUUCUUCACCUUAACACUGCUUUUAAUGAAAGACAACUCGAGCUCAUCGCAUUUCUGAUCUAAACAAUCUGUUGUCCAUAAAUUAUUGGUUUCACAGUCACCAUAUUUAUCUUCCAUGGAAAUUGGAUAUAGUUUAUUACGCGGCCAAUAACGAAGAAAAAGGUGAUCUUUCAUUAUGGGCUCGUUAAAUCGUUUGCCCACCAACCAGCCACUCCAAUCAAUUUGUCGACGAUUUCUACCUCGAAAAAUAGAUCCAUUCCAGCUGGCUUCUUCAGAAUUUCUACAAUAGAUAAAUGCUUCACAAUCGAUAACCUCGAUAUCGCAUGAAGCAUCAUUAUUGACAAAACUGCAGCAAGAAGCAACUCCAAUCCAUUGACUAUCUUUCCGAAGGUUGAUAGGUAGGGGUAUCUUAAUUGAAGAGCCACUUUUUUGUUGGCUAAACCAUUCUGGGAUUUCACUUCCGGGAAUAAUAAUAUCAAACGCUUUUCUUGGAUUUGGAAAUGCCUGCAAAAUAAAACACAAGUGGUUUGGUAAAUAAAACCAUAAAUUCUCAAGUAUGAGAUUUUGUAAGGGAGAAAAUAGAGAUUAAUCGACCUUAAGAUGUUUUUUCAGCAGUGCUAAUGCAUCAGCCAAUUUGAAGCGGUUAAUGGCUCUAACGGUAGCCCAACCCACUAAAUUGCAUCCUUUUGAUGGACUUGCAACUACUUCAAGUGAAGCACAACCAUCGAUCCACACCUUUCCUAUACUUGUUAGAAGCUCAGGCAAAUAUUUAAGCUUCUUGCAAUUUAUCAAGUAAAGAAACUCAAGCUUUGAGAGUCGAGUAAGAGAUGCAGGUACGCUGAUGAAAUUGUUACCACUAAGAUCAAGAUCUGUCAAGGAGGAUAGACCAGAAGUAUCACGUGGAAUAUCUCCUUCACAAAGAUUGCAGUCCCUUAGUUUUAGCUCUCUUAAUGAACUCAAACCUGACAACAAAGGCAACAUCGGAGCUAAGGGAUUCGUCCCUCUUCCUUGGAUUACCUUGAAAAGAGAAGGCAAAUUUUGUCGUGACUUAUAUGAUGGUCCCUUGCGCCCAUUGAAAGAUAGAAUCUUAAUAUUUUUCAAUAGAAAAAUGAAGGGUGGUGGCUCUGUUAUGCUUGUUUCACUCAAGUCAAGCUCUUCCAAAGAUUCUGCUUGCUGUAAAUUCUCUGGUAAAUAUUCAACUUUGAAACAUCCAGAAAGAUGAAGAGUUUUUAGAUGUUCUAUUUUCCCAUCAAUCUCUGGAAACCUUGCAAGAUUUGAGCAACCUGAAAGAAUUAAUGUUUCAAGAGAUUCCAUUCCAAUUUCGGUUGGAAGACUCCUAAGACUUUUGCAGUCUCUUAAAUUCAAAAGUUUAAGGCUCUUAAGCACUCCGAUUGAUGGAUGGACAUCUACUAAUCUGGUACAACCUUCCAUAAUCAAAGCUUCAAGUUUUGGUGCUGUUGUGAAGUCAGGUGUCUUGAUCAGGUUUUGGGACCCCUUGAGGUUGAUCAUUUUCAACUUAAACAAUGGCUGUUGAAGAUAAUAAUAAAUUAGGCCGAAGACAUAAUAAUGCUAAUUUUUGUUUUUUUUUUUACCUUAAUCAAAGUUUAAUCAUUUAUAUUAAAAUAAACUAAAACACAAGGAUAAGAUGAGUUAGUUCUUACUCUAUUCCCCUUCCAUAGUUGUUCAAUAUGACUAUAUGGUAAAAGAAGUGCAACAAGAUUAUCUGGGUGGAAGUUUGAAGGCAAAAGUUUUAAAGGGUAUUCUGUCCAAUCUAAAAGCCGUAGUUCAUUAGAAAGAUAUUUGAGAUGAUCAUCACAAUUUGAUACGCGAAACACUUUGAGCAAUCUCAAAUUUUCAUCUUCGAGAAGGUAACGGUGCUCAAAUUGAACAUCUUGCUCGAUUCCCUAAUAAUCAUGAGUAAAACAAAAAAUGAGCUUCAAAAUAUACAAAAAUAUUCAAUAUCUAAAAGCUAUGUUGCAUCGAUAUUUUUUUAUGUACCCACAUCCAGUACUUAUAUGUAAUGCGUAUAUAAAUAUGGUAUUGCGAUAUAAUUAAAUAUAUUAGACAAUACUUAAUCUAACACUUAUUUCACACUUUUAAUUACCUAAGCCUAAAAAACCUAGAACUAAUAUUUUUAUUUAUGUUUAGUGCAUUGAUGUGUAAUUCUAUACAUUACUAGCAAAAUGAUGGCAUUAUUUGGAUUUACUUUUGAAAACUUUUAAUGAUAUGUUAUGGUCUAGUUCAUUGAUAUAUACUGUCAUUACAUCAUAUAUAAACCAUUAAUAUUAACAAAGACAAUGACAUUAAUUUUUUUAUAAUUUCUUUUGAAAGAGUAGUGUUUCUUUAUAAAAUUCAUAAAUAAAAAUUGAAAAAUUAAACAUUAAGAAUGUGUUUGGUUGGGUGAAAAAGUAAAGGGAUAUGAGAAUGAAGUAUGCUUGGUAAAAAAAAAAGUGAGAAAAAAGAAAGAAAGAAAGAGAUGAUCAUUUACGUGUAUAUUUUCCUACCAUUUAUUGUCGAUGAUCAUGCCUUCAACCAUUUCGGUAGCCUAGAAGUAAUCAAGAAUAGACAAUAAGAAGAUAAAAUAAAUGCUCUAAAUUGUACGAUAAAAUUUUUAAAAAUUUACACACAUGUUCAACGUUAUCACAAUAUUUUGGUUGGAAUAUAGUAAAUAAAAUAUUUUCUAAUGAAAGUAAUUCAAUAAACUUAAAGCUACUCAAUGUCACUUGAGGAUCAAUAUAUAAACCAAUUAGACUAAGCUUUGGAUUUACAUCAUAUAUUAAUAAAAGAAAUUUUUGUAUGUAAUUUUUGUUGAAUGAUUUACCGUGUUUUUUGUUAGGACAUGAUGAACAUCCAUUUCCUUCCAUAAUCUACAACGUUUUCCGGGUUCAUCAACACAUUUUUCUUCAACAAUUUUUCUUCCCAUUUCUUGCAAUAAGGCAUGCAUCUGCAAAUAUUGGUUGUCAUCACUGACUUUUAUGAGAGAUUUCUUAAUGAGAACAUCGACUCCAAUAUCUGGAAAAAACCCACAACCAUCCAAUACUUUCAUUACCAAAUCUUUCUCCUCCCCAUUGAAAAAGCAUGCUAUAUCUAGAAAUAUAUUCUUCUCCCUUUCUUCCAAUCCAUCAAAGCUAAUUCUUAGUGUGUCAAGAAUUUCUUUGUUAGAAUCUUGUUUAAGUCUUUCGAUUGCACUUCUCCAUAGAACUAUAUCUCUACCACACAAAAAUGAACCCAAAACUUCAAGAGCUAAGGGAAGACCACCAGCAUAAUGUACAACAUGUUCAGAAAGCUCAAUGAAAUCAACUUUCGGCGUUGUAUCACCGUCAAAAGCUUUCAAAUUGAAAAGCCUUAGUGCAUCGUUGGGAUUCAAUAUUGUAGGCUUAUACACAUCAUUGAUUCGAUAAGAUCGGAGCAAAUGUUCAUCUCUUGUUGUUACAAUGAUCCUACUCCCUAAAUUGAACCAAUCACGCCUUCCAACCAAGCAUUUCAAAUGUUGUAUGUUAUCAACAUCAUCAAGAACAACAAGAACCUUUUUACUAGACAACCUGUGGCUAAUUAUGGCAUUCCCUUCAUGAACAUUGAAAAAAUUGAAGCAUUCAUUCGGAAAGAUUUGAGAAAGAAGUUGUUUCUGUAAAGAAACAAGUCCAUGUUUGUUUGAAACUUCUCGAAUAUCAGCAAGAAAGCAUUUACCUUGAAAAUGAGGUAACAUUUGAGUGUAAGCAACCCUUGCAAGAGUUGUUUUACCGAUGCCACCCAUUCCGCAAAUUCCUAUAAUGCGGACAUCGUCUUCCCCAAUAUUUAUUUUCGAAUACAACUCCUCCAAAUGUAAACUAAUUCCAACCAACUCAUCAUGAACAACAGGAUAUGUCUGACAUAAUUUUGCUGAUAUCUUCUUAACAACGUCUCUAAUAAACUCUGAUUCGUGCCUACAAUGAAAUUAAAAUCCGAUAUGCACUUUUUCAUUUUUAGUUUAGUGAAUCAUGAAGUAUAAUAUGGUUGGAAGCAAACAAAAAGUAUGAAUAAGACAGUAAGAUAUAUUAUAGCAUCAAAAUACACAACUUGCUCGUUAGUUGAAAUAUGGGAAUUCUCAAUUAAACACAAAAUUAUAAAAAUAACAUGCAAUCCAAUAAAAAAAACAAUUUUUUAGUCAUUAAAAUUAGGAAAUAGAGAAGAUAAGAAAGAAAUACCUAUUUUUUAAAUGCCAUCCCUUGAUGUUAGCCACUUCAGUCAAAGCAUUUCGCCACUUUUGGAUCUUGUCUUUAUCUUCCUUGUAUCCUUUUUCGUGUUUGGCAAAGGCUUCUUCAACUUUUUCUUUUUGUUUUCUUAAAUCGGAUGGAUCAACAUGGUAGAAAAUCGGAAAUACUUUAUGACCCUUGUCAUUUUUUUGUUUAACAAUCUCCGCAAGCUCCUCCAAGCAUCAACCUGAAAAGGCAUAGGUCUCGGAAAAAACGAUUACCGAGCACCAUGAUUGCUGAAUUGCGUUGAAGAGUUCCGGUGCGAUCUCUUCACCAGUUUCCAACUUUGGAUCAUCUCUAAAAGUGACGAUCCCAGUUCUAUUUAGAGCAUCGUAGAGAUGAUGCGUAAAAUUUUUGCGAGUAUCUUCACCUCUAAAACUCAAGAACACAUCGUAUUUCUUUCUAGAAAUGGAUGAGGAAGUGGAAAGUAACGACGACAUGAGGAUGUAUGAGAAGAAAAAUAUGUGGAUGUAGUGUUCAAAAUCAGUCGCUCAAUACCUCCGAAACAAAAAGUAUAUGAGCAUGAGGGGAGAAAAACAGAUGAAAUUUCGAGGAGGGAAGAACAAAGGGACUAGGUGAAUCUAUCAGUAUAAUAAUAUCUAUGAAAGGGAGUAGGUGUGGAAAUUCGGGGUCAUAGAUGCUCUUUCCGGGAAGACUCCAAGAAGGUGAGUUCACAAAAUGCAGCCUACAAUUUUUCUGAAAAUUAAAUUCAUUAAUUUAUUCAGAACCAUAUAAUUCAGGCAAAAGAAAAUAAUAAAUACUCAUAGUAAACUCUAUCAAUACAAUAAAGGCUUUAGCCUUAAUAUCAAUAGAACAUCAGGACUCUUUAACAAUUAAUUUUAUCACAACUCAAAUACGAUAUAUUUAGAGUAAUUGCAAACACUUAAUACGAUAAGAAAAUCAACUUCGGAUGGUCCAAAGCAACGAGCAAAAAUUGAGAUAAGAAUCGAGCAUUUACCAAACUAGAUAGGACGACAAUAAAAUCAUCUCUAAAAUCACUUGUAAAACUAAGAUUAUAUGCAUAAACACACUUAUUAAAUAAUUGAAAAAAAAUAUUAAACUUAACAACACAAAAAUAGAUCCUACAAUUAUUAUCAAGUAACGUGUUGGACGGUUUGUGUUUUACUUUUUUUUUAAUUUUAUAUUAUCAUAUCUACUUUAUAAUCAGUAGCUUAUGUACGCAUAUAUGUGAUUUUACGCAUUUAAUAUUUGAUUAAUUUUUUUAAAUAUUAUACUUUUAAUUGAAGUAAUUAGUAUAAAAUAAUAUUUUUUAUUUAAAUUAUUAAAUAUAUGUAAAAUAUAUUAAUUCAUCAAUUCAAACAAAUAUUAUAAUAGAAAUUUUUUAAAUAAUAAUAAAAUAAUUUUUAACAUAUUCAACAUAUAUUAUAGUUUUCCUUUAUGUAGCUAAUGCAAUGUAAUAUUACUCAAAAUAAUACUUAACAUAAUUGUCAGCAGCCUCUUGGCCUAUUUACAAAAGCUUGAUUUUGUAGGCACGAGAGUUUGGAUUCAAUUCUAAGCAACCCUAUUUUCCUUCCUUAAAAACUGAGCACAAUAAAUUCUAAUAAUAAUUAAGUGAUAAUUAUAAUGAUAAUUUUAAAUUUAGUAAUAGAAAAAAAUAAAUAUCUUUCUCAAACUCGUUAUUAUAUAUUGAGUAUUAAAAUUGUGUUUUACGUGUCAUAGCAAUUCACCACCAUUUGAUCUUAUCUGUUAUCUUCCUUGUACCUUUCUUCGUGUUUGGUGAAGGCUUCUUCAACUUUUUCUUUGUUUUCAUCCACAUCGGGGGCCAUAGAUGAGCCUUCGAUGUUCUUUCCGAGAAGACUCCAAGAGGGCGAGAGCUGUUGUUAACAUUUAUAGAGUUUUUCUUGGUUAAAAUGUGCCAGAAGUUUCCUAUACCAUUAAUCACUAAAUUAUGGAUAAAGUUUUGUAGGUAUCUUCACCUCUAAAACUAAAAAAAACAUAAUAUUUCUUUCUAGAGAUGGAUGAGGAAUUCGAAAGUGACGAUGACAUGACGAUUUAUGAGACGAAAAAUAUAUAUGGAUAUAGUGUUCAAAAUCAGAAAAUAGAUGGCUCAAUACCUCAGAAACAAAGUAGAAACAAUAAGUAUAUGAACAUGAGGAAGGAGUAAAACAGAUGAAAUUUACAGGAAACAACAAAGGACUUGUCUAGGAAAUUUGUGUAUACGUUUCCCACCUUUUACUUAUAAUACCUAUGAAAGGGAGUCGGUAACAAUUAAUUAAGAGUUUUUUUUCAUUUUCUUAAAUCUUAAAAUCAAUGUUGAGACAUUAAUCAAGACUAAACUUGUCUCCUUUAAUGAUAUAAGUAUCACCUAAUCUACAAUCCUACAUGAAGGAGAAAAACAGAUCAAAUUUCAAGGGAAAUUGGGGGAUGAUGGAUGAGUGAUAGAUGUUGUCUCCAGGAAGAAUCCAAGAAAGAGUCCACAAAAUUGAGCCUACAAUAAUUAUAAGUGUUGGACCGUUUGUGUUUUACAUUAUCAUAUUUACUUCAUAAUUAUAAAGUAUUAACUAAUUGUGUUUUACAUGCUUAACUAGUUUCUUAUGUAACAUACAUCUAAUUAUUUUUAUUUCAUUAAUUAUAUAUUUAUUUUAUUAAUUAGUGUAUUUAAUUAUUAUUUAAAGAUACAUGAUUAUUUAUUUAAAAAUGUAUAUUAUUUUAUGUAAUGUAAAAUAAUUAAAAUAUUUUAUUAGACUUAACACAUAAUUUAGUACUUGAGUUUGACACUUUUUUCUAAUGUGAUACUUAUGUUAUUUUUGAUCCAAUCAAGUAUCUGUAUUUGACAAAAAGUUAUAUAUUUUGACAUCCAAAACUAAUGAUGUUAAGUGUUUAAUUCGAGUUUUAGGGUUGGUUUGAUGAAAAUUAAUUGCUAAUUAUGUAUUUUCAUCAAACCAAUUCUAAAACCCGAAUUAAAUCACAUCCAUUGGACUGUAUUUGACAAAUUAAAUGCAAAAUUAAACAAAUCCAUAAUUAACACUAAAUUUAUUCUAUUAACAAAAUCAUGAAAAAUUCAAAGUUAAUAAUAUUAGCAAUUAACUUUCAUCAAAUCAAUUCCCAGACCCGAACUAAACACUAAAAGGUUAACAUCGUUUGUAAUGACCCAAAAUUCACGGGCAUUGGAAAAGUACAUUAUCAGGCCUCUGUCUUAGAAAACUGAGUCAUAAAUAAUUAUUAGAAGUAAUUAUGAGUUUAGUUGAGUGCUUAAUUAGGUAUUAAUUAGGUAAAUUUAGUCUAAUUAAGAAUAAUUAGGAAAAAAGAACUAAAUAGAGUAAAGGGUAAAAGUUUAAUUAUAGAUCAAAAAAAAGUAUAAAGGAUCAAAAUGGCAAUUAAGCCAAUUCAUAAGAAUGAGGCGGCAUAAGCUGUGUAAGAUUGAAGAUUUUUAUGUGAUAUUUUCUAUUAAAAUUUCAUUAAUAAUCAUUAAGGUUUAAUACUAAAUAAUAAAUUAUAUUAAUUAUUAUUAUUAUUAUUAUUAUUAUUAUUAUUAUUAUUAUUAUUAUGAAAUAAGUUAAACAAAGACAAAUGUAUGGUAGUGAUUUAAUACAAAUGUAUUGAUAAAAGUAUAUACAUUUGUAAUAAUUAUAUUAAAUUAUUAGAUAGAUAUUUAUUAGAUAAAUAAUUAAAUUAUAAGAUUUUUUUGUGUGAUAAAUAAAAUAAAUGAUGACAAAUGUAUGGUAUAGAUGAUAUUGUACAUUUGUAAUAUUAUUAUUUGUUGUUAAAUAGAUUUUUAUUAAAUAAAUAAGAUAAUUGACAAAUAAAUGGUAUAAAAUUUAUACAAGUGUAAUAAAAUAAAUAUGUACAAAUGUAAUUAAACAAUUGAUUUACUUAAUAUUUAAGCAUAAGAUAUUUUAUAUUGAUAUUAUAUUAAUGAUUUAGUAAUUAAAAAAAAACAACAAAAGAAAUAAAGUAAAGUAAGUAAAAAUUAAAGAAACAAAAAAAAGAAACAAAAGAAGAACAGAAACAGAGAAUGAAACGAAAACAGGGGAAGAAAAAGGGAAAGGAAAAAAAAAGGGGAAAAUUUGGAUUUUAAAGCUUCAAGUUUAAUUGGUAAGCUAAAUUUAGCCCUUUUCUCUUAAUUUUGAUGUUUUAAAAGCUUUAAAACAAAGUUUUGUUGAAAUUGAGUGGAGGUUAUGUAAGUUCAUAGGUUUUUGAACAUGAUUCAUGUUGAACAAGUUGUUAAAUUAGGGGUUUAGUUGAUAGAAUUUCUAGUUAGAAUCGAUAAAAGGAUUAAAUUGUAAACUAGGCUAUAAGUUUUACAUAGUUGGGAUUAAGUUAUAAGAAGUCUUAAAUUAGGGUUUAAUUAUGAAUAUUGAAUAGUUGAGUUAAAUAUGGCAAGAAAUUAAGUAGAAAAGAAGUAUGAAUUAAGCUAGAAAAGUAAGUAAGCUCAGUUAGAAUUAAAUUGGGAAUAAGUAGGAAUUGAAUAAAAUUUAAUUAUUAUUAUUAUUUUUUAUAAUUUAAUGCUGUAAUUAAUAGUGAAAAUAAUUAUUAUUUUCGUAGCUAAUAAAGAACUUGAGGCAUCGACAUCGAAAGGAAAGGAGAAAGCUAUCGAGGACUAAAACGGGCGAUUUACGGUUUGUAUUACUAUAAUUCAAAUUAUUUAUUAUUUAAUGCUAUAUUUAAAUUUAUAUGUAUGGUAAGUGAAAUAUAAGGUAAGUAUUAUUAUUAAGUUGAAAGAAAUUCAAUUGAAUGAUGAAUAUAUGUGUGGAAUUGAAAUGAAUAUUGACUUGAAAAUGGAAAAGUGAAUUUUGAAUUAAAUUGUGAUUGAAAGUGAAAAAGUGAAAUUGAAUUGAAAUGUGAAUUUGGAGAUCCUAUUAACUAGUCGAGCUGAGUCGGAUAUAGUUGGCAUGCCAUAGGAUUGAAAGAGUUCAGGGAUACUUCGACCUCGAGUCGAUGAGACACUGGGUGUCACUAUAUUUCUUCGGAUAGAUUUGAUGAGGUAUUGGGUACCAACUUUCUUCGGCUUUGCCGAUGAAACACUGGGCGUCAACUAUUGCUUUGAACUAUCCGAUGAGGUACUGGGUUCCAUACUGGAGUGUUUGGUUGGAUCCGUGUAUCCGUCAAAGUUCGAGUUUUGUUAAUAGGGUAAAUAAUGAAAUGAUAAACUGAAUGAGUUGAUCAAUCGAGCUAUUGAAAUGAAAUGAAAAGUUGAAUUGUGAAUUGAAAUGUGAUAUGAGAUUGAGAAAUGAAUCUAAGGUUCAUGAUGUGUCCAAGUUCCAAAUUGUGGAUAUAUGAUAUUAAUUGAUGAAUUGUUGUUGUAGAAAUAUGAAAUUUGAGUUUAAAUUUGUAUGUAUGAUUUUAUGCAUUACAUGUUUAUUAAUAUUAUAAUUUGAAUUAUGGUAAUACCUUUGAGUAUGAAAUACUCAGCGUACGGUUGUUUCUAUGCGCAGGUCAUUAGAGUUCAAUGUCCAGUUCAGCAUCCAGAAAGAUCCCGACUCCAUCAAGAAAAUUUUGGUAAUGUGUUUCUUCCUUUUGUUUAAGUGACAUGUACUAGGUGAUUGUACACGAGUCGUAUAUAUAUAUGUAAAUAUAUAUGCUAAAUGAUCUUGGUUGUAAAUAAAUGGUUAUAAUCUUUUGGAUGAUAAAUAAAGUUUAAAGUUAUAAAUUAGUAAACUUAGUAUUAAAUCUUGAAAUGAAAUGAAAGAUAUGAAAUUUUUUUUUUUACAUGUUAACUUUAACCUUUUAUAAUUAAAGUAGUAAAUCAAUUUAUUAAGCAUGAUUUAGUAGCAUUUUAAAGUAUAAAAUCAUUGAUUGAAAUAUUGCUAUUGGUUUGUUUUUGGUUUUAAGUUUGCAGGGGUUUUAUGUAAAAAUAAGCAGAAAUAUUGUCGAAAUUUAAAAAAAAUAAAAAAUGAAUGAAGCCAAUUAGCCUAAAUUUAUAUGAAUUUAUGAUUCUUUUAUAUAUGUUUGUUAUUUAUCUAAGAAUUAUUUGUAAAUUGUUCAAGAUGUCCAGUAAUGCCUCGUAACCCUGUUUCAGUGACGGUUUAGGGUUAAGAGGUGUUACAUCGUUACUUUUGAAUACAAAAUAUAUAACUUUUGUCAAAUAUAUGUAGAAAAUUGAACCAAAAAAAAAACAAGAGUACCACAUUAGAAAAAAGUGUCAAACUCAAGUACCAAAUUAUGCAUUAAAUUAUUUUAUUACAAGAUAUUGUUUAAUUAUAAAUUUUAAUAUUUAAAUUAAAAACGAGUUUUGUUUGGUGGGAUGUUUUCUUACUGCUAGUGUGGUCCACUUUCCGACGAUGAAGAAUACAUUGGCAAAUUUGUGGCAUCCUUUAAGGUGUGUGCAAAUCUCGAAUAUGGGAGAGAAUAGAUAUUUGUUUAGAUUUUUCAAUAAGGUGGACAUUGAUAUGGUGAUUAAUGGAGCACCAUGGGCUUUCAAUAAUCAUUUGUUAGUGUUCCAUCAUUUGGCUAUUAAUGAAGAUCCCAUGCAAGUACCAUUGCUUUUUCGUGGUUUUGGGUUCAAGUACAUGAUAUUUCCCUAGGAUUUUUCUUUGAAGCAGUGGCAAGAUAGUUUGGUAAUUUUAUUUGAGAAUUUUUCAGAUUAUGAUUUGAAGCAUAUUUCGGGAGGUGUUAGUCAAUAUUUGCAAAUAAGAGUUAAAUUAAAUGUGAGAUCCCUAUUGAAAAGAAGGACGAAAAUUUAGGUUUUCUUAUCAAGUUUCAUAUAUGCGAGAUUUCAGUAUGAAAAAAGCACAUUCUAUUUCAUAUGUGGCCGUUUAGGGCAUGGAGAAACUUUUUGUCUAGUUAGGUUUGUCAUACCCCAAGUUUGGUGGAUCCGAAUUAUGGCAUAGAGUUGUAAGGAUUAUUUAUUUGACGUAUUAUAGUUCGCCAUGUUUGGUCUUUUGGCGAGUACGAUUGGGUGUAAUGUACCUGCCGUUUAGGAGGUUAAAUAUUUUUGUCUCAAAUUAUUAAGUGAUUCUAGUAAAGGAUACUGCCAAAUGUUUAACACCGUAGUUUGUCUGAGCAUUGUGCUAGUUAAGUUGAACAUGAUCUGGUUAAGAAUCAACUAGAUUGGCUGGUCAAAUAUUUAUUGAGAAAUGACUUUCAUUUAUGUUUCUCUUAGAACCUGUAGGCCAUUAAGAAGGACAGUUCUAAAUGUAUUAACAUCUGUUAAGUUCCUACACUAAAUGUAUUGACAUCUGUUAAGUUCCCGCAGGUUGAAUGGGUUAUAUAUAUGGGUGAGAAGGGUCUAUUGAGAAUUCUUCUUCUAUUUCUUCCUUCAAUAUUGUUCUCUGUUUCUUCAAGUUAAGUGCUAUUUCAAUCUCUUCAAGUUAGAUGUUAAGAUGCUGGGAUUACUUAGAGGUCACUCUAUCUCUUAGUAAGUAAUAUGGCUUUGCAUGUUAAGUUUUGAAGGAUUUAUGGUGUUAAGAGUUUAAUGAGCAGUAGGCCUAAAACAAGGUCUUGCAUGGAGUUUAUCUAUGACUGAGAUGUUGAAAAUUUGUGUAUAAGGAUUUUAAUGGUGAAAUUGUGUUCUUUGAGUAGCUGUUGCUGCUAGGCCAAGAAAGAUGUUCGAGUUUAGAGCUUUGAACUACAGUUGGUGAGUAUCAGGUGAGUGUUUAUCUUGACUCUUGCAUGUUUACUGUUUAGAUAUAAACAAGCAUAAGUGAUAAUGAUAUCUUUGAAGAUUGUUAAGAAUGUGAAAAAUAAAUGAUGAUAUAUGUGGUUAUGAUGGAAUGUAUAAAACUCGGUGUGAAUAGAAUGUUGUUCGUAAGUAUAUAUGUAAGAAUCAAAUAAGUAUGAAUAAUUUGUGAAGUGGGGUUGGAGUAACAUUCUUUUGUGAUGCCUCUGGUAUGAAAGGUAUAUUGCUAACUAGACUGAUAUAUCACAAUAUGAGUGUAUGUGUAAGAUCAUGUGGUGGAAACCCAUGACACUAUGAUAUGAAAACACCCAUGGUGUAACCUCUAGUGAAACAUAGUCUGGAUUGGCAGGUCACGAUACAUGAAGUGAAUAAGUCCAUGUGUUUGAGCCCAUGGCAAGAUGUGUUUGUAUGAAUACUUAUGGUGAUGCCUCCGUUAUGAUAAAAACUGGACUGGCAGAUCACGUCAUAAGGUUUAAGUAUAAGACCAUGACUAAGGAACCAUGACAUCUUCUGUGAAAGUCCGUCGGGACAGCAAACACGUGAUUCUAAAUGUGUCUUAUAUGUGUUGAACAUGGACUGCAAUGCAACAAUAGGCCAAGGAGCAGACCAGCUGCUGUAGAAGAUCAGAACUCGGUCAAAGCUAGAAGCAGCUUGGUUCAUUUUGUUUCUUUUGUUUCUUUUGAUUAUUUUGUAAUGCUAUUCAAGCUAAAAUGUAACUAGACUUUAGAGUUGUUAGGAUAUGAAUUUGACAGAUGUAAUGGCUGAAUUAUUCAGCUUUUCAAUUUGUAUUAUUUUGUAUUUCAAGUUACUAAAAUUGAUGGGAGCAGUUACAUAAGUUAGGUAACUGUCAUACUAUUUUUGUAACAUUUAUAUUUCAAGGCUUUAAUGAAAAUUUUGAAUUGAGCCUAAUCGGUUACUCUUUAUUUUGUGUUUCAAUUUUGUUCCUUCGUAUUGCUUGCUGUUUGUGAGCUUAUGCUCAAGAAAGUUUCAUGUUUAUUAUGUUUGCUGCUGUCAUUUUAUCCAACAAAUGGUAAUCAGAGCCUCUUAUCUUUGAGGACCUCUAUUGCUUAUGUUUUAGUUUUCAAAAACAAAGUUAGUAUCGUGCUUGCAAAGUCAGUUUCAGCAGCAUGAGUUUUGCACCUCCUCCACCACCAGUUUUUGCUGGAGACAACUACCAUAUUUGGGUUCUCAAGAGGAAGACAUAUCUUCAAGCACUUGACCUCUGGAGUGCAGUCGAGAGUGAUGUCGAGCCAGCACCUUUAAGAGCAAAUCCUACCAUUGCUCAGAUUAGGCAACAUGGUGAGGAACGAGCUAAGAAACACAAAGCUAUGGCCUAUUUGCAGAAUGGAGUGUCAGAUGUUAUCUUCACUCACAUUAUGGCCUGUGAUUCCCCUAAGCAGGCAUGGGACAGGCUUAAAGAGGAGUUUAUGGGAUCGGAUAAGACCAGGUAGCAACAAGUCAUCAACUUGAGAAGGGAGUUUGAAAAUUUAAAGAUGAAGGAGUCAGAAACCAUUAAACAGUAUUCUGACAGGAUAAUGGCUACUGUCAAUAACAUAAGACUCCUAGGAGAGGAUUUUAGUGAUAGUAGAGUGGUUGAGAAGGUGAUCACCACUCUUCCAGAGAGGUUUGAAUAAAAAAUCUCCUCACUAGAGGACUCGAGGGAUCUUACAACCAUUUCCUUGUCUGAAUUGGUUAAUUCUCUCUAUGCACUCGAGCAGAGGAGAGCUAGCAGACAGGAGGAGAACCCUGAAGGAGCCUUUCAAGCAAGAACCAGAGAAGGUUCUAGCUCAAACCAGAGAGCUAAGAAACCUUGGUUUGAGAGAAGAGACAGAGCAAAGAAAGAAACUAACAGAGAAGCAGGCAGAAGGAGGUUUCCACCAUGCAUUCACUGCAAGAAGACCAAUCACUUGGAGAAGUUUUGCUGGACUAGACCAGACAUACAGUGCAAAAGCUGUAAGCAGUAUGGCCAUCAUGAGAAAAUUUGUAGAAGUUAUGAGAAGGCUCAAGCUCAACCAGCAGAAGCCAAGACUGCUGAGGAUACACAAGCUCAAGAGGAGCAUGUGUUCACUGCUUCAUGUUUUGCAGUUGACAGCAAAUGCAGUUGGCUUGUGGACAGUGGUUGCUCGCACCACAUGGCUGCUGAUGAGAGGUUGUUCAAGGAUCUUGACAAGAGCUAUGUCUCAAGGGUCAGGAUUGGCAAUGGCAACUUGAUUGAAGCAAAGGGCAGAGGUGAUGUGGUGAUUCACACUGGUUCAGGUAACAAAAUUAUCUCAGAUGUGCUUUAUGUGCCUGAAAUUGAUCAGAAUCUGCUUAGUGUAGGCCAGUUAGUCAAGAAAGGCUAUUCACUAGUUUUCAAGAAUGAUUCCUGUGUUAUAAGUGAUGCUCAUGGUAGGGAGAUAGUCUCGGCACCUAUGGUAGACAAAUGCUUCAUGCUGGAUGUGAGUCAACUUGAGAAAAGUGCUUACACAAGCUCAGUAGAUGAUACUGAUCUUUGGCACAAUAGGUUUGGCCAUGUUAACCUCAAAUCACUUGAUUUGCUGCACAAAAUGAACAUGACAGAGGACAUGGUGAAGGUUGAUACAAGUGAAAGUGUUUGUGAGGUGUGUCAGCUUGGUAAGCAGACCAGGCUACCAUUUUCAGCAAACCAGGCAUGGAAGGCUCGAGACAGACUUGAAUUGGUGCACUCAGAUGUCUGUGGACCAAUGAAGACACCUUCACUGAAUGGCAGCAAGUGCUUUGUUUUGUUUAUUGAUGAUUUGACCAGAUUUUGUUGGGUGUACUUCGUGAAACAGAAGUCAGAUGUAUUUGACAUGUUUGUGAAGUUCAAGGCUUGGGCAGAAAAUCAAGCAGGCUGCAAGAUCAAGGCCUUGAGGACAAACAAUGGUACAGAGUACUUGUCUGAAAAAUUUCAGAAGCUGUGUGAGCAAGCUGGAGUUCAUCAUCAGUUGACUACAGUCUACACUCCUCAACAAAAUGGAGUGAGUGAGAGGAAGAACAGGACUGUGAUGAACAUGACAAGGUGUUUGCUGUUCCAAAGCAAGCUUCCAGGCAUUUUUUGGGCUGAGGGUGUCAAUACCUCAGUUUAUUUGCUCAAUAGGCUACCUACACAUGCUGUGAAGGACAAGACCCCUUUUGAAGCAUGGUAUGGUCUCAAACCUGUUGUUUCACAUUUAAAAUUGUUUGGUUGCAUAUGUUAUGUGCUUAUACCAGCAGAAAGGAGGACCAAACUUGAGAAGAGGUCAAUUGCUGGCAUAUUUGUUGGCUACAGUGGCUGCAAGAAGGGCUACAGGAUAUUUGACCCCUCGACCAAGAAGAUUUUGGUAAGUAGGGAUGUUAAAUUUGAUGAAUCAAGAUUUUGGGACUUUGAUGGUUCAGAUCCAAGUCCAUUUGAAGAAGAGGAAGGUGAUAGCAACUUGGAAUUGGCAGAAAGAGAGGCCAGUAAUGCCAAUGUUGAUGAUGCUCCUGUGAGAGGGACCAGGUCCAUUGCUGACAUCUAUCAGAGAUGCAAUGUGGCCAUUGUUGAACCCUCAAAUUAUGAGGAGGCUGCUAGAAGCAAGAGCUGGAGGGAAGCUAUGGAGGCUGAAAUUGAAAUGAUCCACAAGAAUGAUACUUGGGAUCUAGUAGACAGACCUGAACAGAGAAAAGUCAUUGGUGUCAGGUGGGUUUACAAUGCAAAGUUCAAUGCAGAUGGCUCUUUGAACAAGCACAAGGCAAGGCUUGUGGUGAAAGGGUAUAGCCAACAGGCUGGCAUUGAUUUUAAGGAGACUUUUGCUCCAGUAGCAAGGCUGGACACUAUCAAAUUACUGUUUGCCUUGGCUCCACAGAAGCACUGGAAGCCUUCUUGAAUGGCUUCCUUAAGGAGGAGAUAUAUGUGGAACAACCUGAUGGAUUCAAAGUCCAAGGAAUGGAGGACAAGGUUUACAGGCUAAAUAAGGCAUUUUAUGGUUUAAAACAGGCUCCUCGAGCCUGGUAUGACAGAAUUGAUGAGUAUCUGUCCAAACUCAACUUUGAGAAAAGCUUGAGUGAACCAACUUUUUUUGUGAAGAAGUCCAAUGAUGAGACACUGUUGAUUGUGUCAAUUUAUGUAGAUGACCUGCUGGUUACUGGAAGCAAAAUUGAACUGAUUCAAGAGUUCAAGGAGAAAAUGCAGAUUAUGUUUGAAAUGACAGACUUGGGAAUUAUGAGCUAUUUCCUUGGUAUGGAAGUGUGUCAGACUGACUAAGCUAUUUUCAUUGGCCAACAUACUUUUGCAUCAAAGUUACUCACUAGAUUUCACAUAGAAAAUUGCAAACCAGUGAGUACUCCUCUGGUUAUAGGCCAGAAGUUGAGCAGCUAUGGAGAUGAAGAAAAAGUGGAUGAAAGGGAGUACAGAAGCUUAAUUGGAUGUUUGCUAUACUUGACAGCAACUAGACCUGACCUUAUGCAUUCGGUCAGCUUACUAUCUCGUUUCAUGCAUAGCUGCAACACAUCACAUUUGAAGGCAGCAAAGAGGAUCCUCAGGUAUGUGAAAGGAACUUUGAAGUUUGGAGUGAUAUUCAAGCCAGGAAGUAAGCUUAAGCUAACUGGCUACUCAGACAGUGACUGGGGAGGUUCGAUUGAUGAUAUGAGGAGUACCUCGGGCUAUCUUUUUACACUUGGUUCGGGGGCUUUCUGUUGGAGCUCUAAAAAGCAACAAACUGUUACUCAAUCAACUGCAGAGGCAGAGUACAUAGCAGUAGCUGGAGCAGUAAGCCAGGCUAUUUGGCUUAGAAAAUUGCUAUGCGAUUUGAAUGAGGAGCAAUUUGAACCUACUGAGAUUAUGGUUGAUAAUCAAUCAGCAAUUGCUAUCUCAAAGAAUGCUGUUUUUCAUGGAAAAACAAAACAUUUUAAACUUAAAUUCUAUUUUGUUCGAGAGGCAGUGCAAGCAAAGGAUGUAAGUCUUGCAUAUUGUAACUCACAAGACCAAUUGGCUGACAUUUUGACAAAGCCUCUUGGUGCAAUGAGGUUUGAACUUCUGAGGGAAUCAAUUGGUGUUUGUUGCCUACAGUCCAAGGAGGAGUGUUGAACAUGGACUGCAAUGCAACAAUAGGCCAAGGAGCAGACCAGCUGCUGUAGAAGAUCAGAACUCGGUCAAAGCUAGAAACAGCUUGGUUCAUUUUGUUUCUUUUGAUUAUUUUGUAAUGCUAUUCAAGCUAAAAUGUAACUAGACUUUAGAGUUGUUAGGAUAUGAAUUUGACAGAUGUAAUGGCUGAAUUAUUCAGCUUUUCAAUUUGUAUUAUUUUGUAUUUCAAGUUACUAAAAUUGAUGGGAGCAGUUACAUAAGUUAGGUAACUGUCAUACUACUUUUGUAACAUUUAUAUUUCAAGGCUUUAAUGAAAAUUUUGAAUUGAGCCUAAUCGGUUACUCUUUAUUUUGUGUUUCAAUUUUGUUCCUUUGUAUUGCUUGCUGUUUGUGAGCUUAUGCUCAAGAAAGUUUCAUGUUUAUUAUGUUUGCUGCUGUCAUUUUAUCCAACAAUAUGGCAUGAUCAACUAAGCCUUUGUGGCAUAUUUUGUUUGGUCCUUGUGGAGUGUUCGACCAAGUCUUCAUGAGAAAUGAUGAUUAUCUGUCUUCUUUAUGGUAAGUCCUGGAUGUAUUCUGGGUAUGUUGUGAUAUGAUCAAGGUUAAAAUGAGUCGAAUUAAGCCUAUGAAGUAAUCAAAUAAGUUCAUUAAAGAAUAUUUUUGGAAAAGAAUUGUGUAUCUGUUUGUCUAAAGAAUGGGGAAUAUGCCUCGAUAAUGUGCUAGCAUAGAAAAAGUGUAUUUGUGGUUAUGGAGCUAUGAGAAAUUGGCAGUUGGAGUUCUAAUGAGCUGUAUAGUGUUGAAAUCGGGGUACAUGAUAUCCACCAUAUUUGAUUAGCAUCUCAUUCGAUUCUAGAAUUUCAAAGUAAAUACUCUAUUUGUUAAUUCAGGUUAUUACGUAUUUGUUGUAAGAGGUACAAAGAACUCUUUGAUUGAUUUGGUUAGUUAGUUAUCAGUGUGAUAUUGUGUUGGGUAUUGAAUUAGAAUAUAGAAUGAAGGAAAAACUGAUAAUAUUCAACUCAACGUGGGAAUCCGCCAAAUAUGUAAGUAUCUGCCAGUGAAUUGUAUGGCGUCUCACUCAAGAAUCUUAUAAAAUUGGAGCUAUUCGUCAUGUUGGGUUGUUGUGCGAUGAAUUAACCUGAAGGUCUCAAAUGAUCCAUAAUUAAUAUAAGUAUGUGUUGAGCUUAAGUUAGGAAAUAAUUUAUCUUUCAAAAAGGGUAUGGAAAUAUUGUAAAUCAUUCAGGUAGUUAAUAGAGUAUGAGUAUGAUAAGAGUGGUGUGUUUGGUAUAUAGGAAGUGUAGUCCAGGUAUUAGUGAUUGAUACAUGACAGAAUCAUUCAAACACCAUAGGAGAUACUUGAAAGAGUAGGAUCUUACAUUGGUGAACUCGAUGCUCUUAGAACCAGUUAUCUGCAAAUAUAAUGGAGUUAGAGAGAUGGAAUCCUCCGGGUAGGGGUUGGUUUAAGAUUAAUUAUGAUGUAGCUUUUCAAAAUCACUAGUUGAGAUCAUUUACAUGGAUUAUCAUUAGAAAUCAUUAAUGGGGCACUCUUGUAUCCUCAAUAAUACAGAACAAGCACAUGCCUAUUGAGUUUGCGGCGAAGGCUCUUGCAUGCCUUCAAGAUUGGGGCUAGAUCUGGAACUCCAAGACGUUAUUCUUGAAGCCUUGAAGGGAUGCUCUAACGGUGGAUAAAAACUGCUGUACAAAAAUAGAGAUGGAUCAGUUAUCGGUGCAUUCAUUGAAGAGUCAAAUCCCCUAAGUCAAAGUUUAAAUCCCCUUCUAGCUUGUUAAUAAGAAGCAGAAACCAAAAUUGUAGAGUGAAAGAAUGUUAGAACAUUGGUAGCAGCAAAAUAAGAGAACAGAGAGCACAGAACAAUGAAGCAAGAUAAGCAAGAUAAGCAAGAUGCAAGAGGUAUUUUUACUUGCUCACAAAUGUGCAGCAAUGGAGCUUAUAGCUGAUAGCUCAUUCAGCUCAUUCGUUCAACUAGAAAAACAAUACAUUUAUAGUCAAAUACAUUACCAAAUACUACCUACUACCACUAAGUAGCCUAAUAACUUGAUAAACAUUGCUUGUGCACAUAAACAAGCCACCUAAACUAGUCAUUCAACACUUAACGUAUUAAGUUGUCAUCAACUUGUUCAUUUUCAACUAGUUUAAUUAGAAUGAAACUAAAGAGAAAACCUUGCUAUUACAGCAAGCAUACGUGCUGCAGCAUGUCAUCAAGCUGCAUGCACUUCAACCAAAAAAUGUAACAGUAGCAUGGUUGGCCAGUUUCCAACACUCCUCCUUGGACUCCAUGUCGCAAAUACCAAUCAUUCAUCAAGUUUUUUGAACUUGGCAAUCCUUAGAUGCUUUGUUUCAAGCUGACUCUGUUCAAGCAUUUCAUUUUCAACCUUGGCUUCAUUCUCAACCAAAUCUGACUUGCACACUUGACUAUCCCAAUCUUUUGUGCCAAAGAUUUGUUCAUCAAAUAGAGUCUUCUCCUCAUUCACAUCCUUGGUUGAGAACUUGCCUUCAAACACAUCUCUUCUUUCUUGCCUUGUUUCUUUGUUCAUUACAAUCCUGUUUCUUCUUGCACAAACAGUUCGUGAGUAUAGUUUGCUUGCAUUCAGUCUGCCAUUUUGGCUUGCAAUUUGACAGGCUCACACUUUGCUUACUGUCUUUAACAAGCUCGCACUUUGCUUACUGUCUUCAACAGGCUUGCAAGUAUACAGGGCUCUCACCUUUUGAUGAGCUUGCACCACUUGCUGAGCUCAUAGCUCACACUUCUCACUGAGCCAGCAGCUUUGACAUCUUGCUAAGCUUGCACCUUGCACAUUUUUGCUGAGGUUGCAGCUUGCACAUUGGAAAGCUCACAUAAUUUCCUUGAAACUCCUCCUUCAGCUUAUUCAAGCUUGUUUGGGGGUCUCAUAAGGUUGAGUUGAUGCUGUCUUCUCUACAAGCAGUCCUUAAUGACUUGCUUGUGCUUUGACAGCUUCUUUUUUUUUAACAAGCUGCGGAAGUAAAAUCAAUGGCCCUCUAAAACUUAAGCUCAUGAUACCAAUUGUUGGAACAUUGUUAGCAUCAAAAUAAGAGAACAGAGAGCACAGAACAAUGAAGCAAGAUGCAAGAAGUAUUUUUACUUGCUCACAAAUGUGCAGCAAAGGAGCUUAUGGUUGAUAGCUCAUUCAGCUCAUUCAUUCAACUAGAAAAACAAUACAUUUAUAGUCAAAUACAUUACCAAAUACUACCUACUACCACUAAGUAGCCUAGUAACUUGAUAAACAUUGCUUGUACACAUAAACAAGCCACCUAAACUAGUCAUUCAACACUUAACGUAUCAAGUUGUCAUCAACUUGUUCAUUUUCAACUAGUUUAAUUAGAAUGAAAUUAACCUCUGAUUCUUUUAUAAUUUACAAUUGUUGACUUUUUUUGUCAGGUUUUUUACUCUCAAAUAUGCCGCAGAUGCUGCCUGCACUGUGUUGCGUGUAGAUCAGGUAAUUUACUAGAGGCAGAAAGCUUGAAAAUGAAAAUCGUACUUAAAAUAGUUUGCUGAUGGAAUUAGAUUCUCAUGCAAAGCUGUAUUUGUUGCUUAGGAUCGCAUAUGUAUUUCAUUUUCCAAACAUUUUCUUCCACUAAGCUCAGUCAUACCGUUGAUUCAAUGUUUGCAGAUUAUCAUGGCGAAACCAGCUGGAGGUCCAGCGAGGAGAGAUCAACCGGCAGGAAUGGAUGAUGACUAAAUCUUGCAUGGUACGAUUGAUUUCCCAUCUCUUGUAUCUCACCACCCAUAUUCAGACUUUGUUUAGGCAUCUAUUUUAUUAUUAUUAUUAUUUUUUCUUUUUAGAUGCUAAAACUAGCUUGAAAGAAUUUUGCAUGUGAUUUUAGAAUGUUUACAGUGGGGAGUAGUGGUGAUCUAUGUUUUUAGCGUAUUACCCUAACCUAUAUUAGGGCCUGGGGUAGGGAGUUAGAAGAUCGUCUCAUUCAUCUCUUUCUCGAUUUUGCAUGGAUGUUGGUUAUAUCAUAGCCUAUUUUACACGAACCCAUUCAUUUUCUCUUAGUACCUAUAUUUAACACUUAUGUUUGAUACAUAUCUAGAUAUGUAUAUAAAGGGAUUACAUCAGUUUCGACUGAAUAAGUUUGUUUGAACAGACUUUAUAAAAGGGAUUACAUCAGUUUGGGUC